AAGGUAGUAGUGCAUGGGAGCCACAUCUUUGAGUCACUGUUGUGCUGGCACACUAGGAGACAUCUCCCCACUGCAUGGUUGCCAGGUUCAGGGACACAUGCCCUUGUGCAGCUGCCUUAAAAGGCCUGAUGCAGUAAAGCUUUCGACCUUGUCUCGAGCUCUAGUCAUAGUCCAACUUGUGGGAGUGGUAAUCCUUGUGUUUCUGCUAGUAUAAACCCUCUCAUCAGUCCUCAGGUUUGCCCUGUACAGAACCUUGCACGUUGUGUUCCUGCACGUGGUGACCAACCCACCCAGUUGCUCAUCUCACCGUGGCCGGGGUGUCUUGAGGAGUCGCGUGCCCAGAACAGAGUCACACCGACGCGGUCUGGCGCCGUGGACAGCUUCACCACCAACUCAUCGUACCACGUCUUCUCCGAGUGUUUUCACACAAGCACAGUAAGACAGAACACCUAGAAGAAGUGGUGUUUGAAGGAGGAGUCUACUCCAGUGGCUGCUGAUCAAGUGGAGGAGCCAUCUGACUGGGUAUUGGGUGGAAAGGUCUUUAGCCUCUUCUCUGCAACAAAGGCAAGCCCCGGUGCAUUUGCCACCUCCCUUGUGUUUACAAAAUUUUAUCACUUAUAUGCUGCAUUAGGUGAUAGGAGUUGAUUGAUUAAACAAUUGAUGCAUUACCAUCCUUGAAAGAUUGAUUACCAUACCUUGUCACCUGUUUUAUAAAAGCUAGAGAUGCUUAGUCAUGCUGAUAGACUAAGAAAAAUGUUUUUCAUCUAUGACUCAUGUUUUUACAAAAAAAUGGGCUUGGGAUAAUGAAGGCAUCAAGACGUUGAUAAAUUCAUUAUCCAGGCAUGGCCCCUAUAUCAGGCGCCAAAAUUUUGAAAUAGUUUAAAAUGGGACCAGACGCUGAGCAGGAAAGGUCGCCCGUCUGUGUCGAUUAAGGACCGUACCGAUUG